rnacentral:sRNA from 1 species
CUGACUUGAUAACAACUCGAGACGAAAGAUAGAGGGGGAGAACGGUUAGAGAAUGAAAGUUGAAAGCUCUACAGGGUCAUGCUAGCGAUAAGACUUUGUGGACCACCAAGAUCAAAAGAGAAAUUGGUCGAGGAGCAAAAUUAAAUCUCAGUUUUGACACUUUCAAUCUCGAAAUUAAAA